GCCCAAAUAACAAAAUACAAUAAGAAAUGAAUAGAUAAAGAUUUGGACUCUUUGGCCCAAACUCUUCGUCUGUACAUCGAUCUUAGGAGUUUGACUCGAUGAGGGAACCUUGAGCCUUUAUGGCUCUCUCGAAAUGCAAGAGAAGGAGAUGAGAGUUCAUGGCGAACUCAAGCGGAUUUCACAUGCCACAAAGUAAAUGAAAGGAAUUAAUAUAUAAUCCAAUUGACAUAAAUGCAAGAAGAACAAACUAACUUGAUGAAAAAUACACAUUUUUUAUCCAAGACAAUCCCAUAUGAUCCUAAAA
rnacentral:misc_RNA from 1 species